rnacentral:rRNA from 1 species
AUUGAACGCUAGCGGGAUGCCUUACACAUGCAAGUCGAACGGAGUGGCGAACGGGCGAGUAAUGUAUCGGAACGUGCCCAGUAGCGGGGGAUAACUACGCGAAAGCGUAGCUAAUACCGCAUACUAUUGGAGCGGCCGAUAUCGGAUUAGCUAGUUGGUGGGUUAACGGCUCACCAAGGCGACAAUCCGUAGCCGGUUUGCGAGGACGACCAGGCACACUGGUACUGAUACACGGCCCAGACUCCUACGGGAGUCAGCAGUGGGGAAUUUUGGAAAAUGGGGGAAACCCUGAUCCAGCCAUCCCGCGUUGGCGAUGAAGGCCUUCGGUUUGUAAAGCACUUUUGGCAGGAAGGCGGUACCUGCAGAAUAAGCACCGGCUAACUACGUGCCAGCAGCCGCGGUAAUUC